rnacentral:rRNA from 1 species
UACGAAGGGGGCUAGCGUUGCUCGGAAUCACUGGGCGUAAAGCGCCCGUAGGCCGUUUGCUAAGUCAGGGGUGAAAUCCUGGAGCUCAACUCCAGAACUGCCUUUGAUACUGGCGGACUCGAGUCCGGGAGAGGUGAGUGGAACUGCGAGUGUAGAGGUGAAAUUCGUAGAUAUUCGCAAGAACACCAGUGGCGAAGGCGGCUCACUGGCCCGGUACUGACGCUGAGGUGCGAAAGCGUGGGGAGCAAACAGG